GGAGGGCUGGCAGAAAGGCAAUGCGCCUGCCUCGAAAGCAGGUGGGGAAUCUUCCCCGUGGAGGUUCAAGUCCUCCGCCCUCCGCUA
rnacentral:tRNA from 1 species